AUUGAACGCUGGCGGCAUGCCUUACACAUGCAAGUCGAGCGGUAACGGGCCUUCGGGUGCCGACGAGUGGCGAACGGGUGAGUAAUACAUCGGAACGUGCCCGAUCGUGGGGGGUAACGAGGCGAAAGCUUUGCUAAUACCGCAUACGAUCUACGGAUGAAAGCAGGGGACCGCAAGGCCUUGCGCGGACGGAGCGGCCGAUGGCAGAUUAGGUAGUUGGUGGGAUAAAAGCUUACCAAGCCGACGAUCUGUAGCUGGUCUGAGAGGAUGAUCAGCCACACUGGGACUGAGACACGGCCCAGACUCCUACGGGAGGCAGCAGUGGGGAAUUUUGGACAAUGGGCGCAAGCCCGAUCCAGCCAUGCCGCGUGCAGGAUGAAGGCCUUCGGGUUGUAAACUGCUUUUGUACGGAACGAAAAGCCUUCUUUUAAUACAGGAGGGUCAUGACGGUACCGUAAGAAUAAGCACCGGCUAACUACGUG
rnacentral:rRNA from 1 species